rnacentral:lncRNA from 1 species
CCAAAAGCCUGUCGUGGCGAAGUGUGUGAUUGAACCUUCUCUUGAUGAGGAUACCAGCAACUGAAGGGGAAGACUAUUAUGGCCCCAGUCCCACAAGGGACAAAUUAGUGUGCUGUCUUGAUGGCUCACCUGUUUAGGAAUUAUUGUAUUGCUCAAAGUCAUGGUUCUUGAUGGCUCACCUGUGAUAAUAAGCUUGAUUUAAACAAUAUAACUCAUCGAAUAUUCUGAUUUUUUUUUUACCAAGUUUUCCUAUUCAUUAAGGAGUUGUGUAUUGUUU